AAACACUAAAAAACCCAAACUCACAACCAUUUUGCUGAAAUGAUACAGAUCUACAUUUGACUAAUUUGGUCCCUUGUUGCCUGGACAUCUUAAAGUUGAUUUUGGUGAUGCAGUUGCCCUUUAGAAAAUCUUUAAAGAGCACCGUGACUGAAUAGCUGGGUUUUUGUUUGAGCCUAUUCAAGGAGAGGCAGGGGUAUGUAUGAUUGGACAUAAAUCUUUUUACACUACUGAAGGUUAAUUUUCUUUUUAUACCCAU